CAAGAGGUUAUUUUCAAAGUUUACCUGGAAGAUCAGGGUGGAUAGUACUAUCAUGAGCCUGGGCAGUCUCUUUUCUCUUGUUCUUUCUGGUGAAAGGAGUCACCUCUGGAGCUUUCUCUGCCACAGACUCAUGAUGAUCUUUUUCAUCCCCAAAAGGAAGCUCCAGAUCUCCAACAGCAAUGAUAGAAGUAACUGCACAAUAAAAGGAAGUUAACAGGCAGUCAAGCAAGGAAAAACACAAGGACCAAAGUCAGGAACUUACCAACCACUCCCUAGCUUGGACAACUUAUCCCCUAAGAUUGCUUGCCAUAGAAGGAUAUGAAACAAACAGACAGAACAGAGUGAAGACAUAUCUCAGAAUAUAGAAAUCCAAAGCAGAAAUAGCAUAACUAUGAAUUUUUUGGCUUCUGCCUCUGCAUAGACAGUUCCAGCAUCCCAAUCUAUAAAAAUCACGUUCACGGCAGUGCCAGCAUCUGUUAGACCAGCAAACCAAGCCUUCCACCAGACAUCAAACUAGCCAGAACUGUAGGAAUUAGGCUCCCAGGAGGGAUAGAGGGCAUCCACACUGUUAUUAAUCUUGUUCACCGAGCACCUGCAAUCCUUUUGCAUAUCUAGAUCAUCUGAAUUCCUCCAUGAGGUUGCACGAUUACAACUUCUGUAGGAUUUGAGAGGAAUGAGGUGAGGGCAGCCAAGCUGCCUGGCACAUAAGUUGGGGUGAUAGACUUCUGCUCCCAAAUGGUAAUUAGGAGGCUUGCCCCCACCAAAAGGCAUAUCUCGG
rnacentral:lncRNA from 1 species